UCCUUUUGGACUUGAAUGUCUCACAGACGCCCUUAGUGCAUUUGACUUUCUUCUUUCCAAGUUUGGGAUCGUACGGGGGUGGAGAAAUUUUGGUGUCUACCAAUUCCUGUGGCACAGUCCAUUCAGCCUCCGGAGGGACCAAUUAAUUGCUUUCGAAUAUGCGAGGAGGUAACUUUCAGCUUUAUAAAUUGGCGAAGAGUAUUCGUAGAUGGAGUUACUAUAAUCUUUG
rnacentral:lncRNA from 1 species